CAAAUAUAUUGUUUUUUUAAUUCUAUUCCAAAAAAAAAAACAAAACAAAACAAAACACAACCAGACCACACUAGGGUUUAGAUUCUUGUUGUCUCAAUUUUCUUAUAUAUGUACCUAUCAUCCCUCACUCACAAUCACACCGCGGCCUCUCUCCUCUCCAUUGCCUCUCUCUUUCGUCUUUCCUAUCAUUUCCCCUCCAUGACAGAAGAGACGAAGCCAACAGAGCUAUUCAAGAUCGCCAAUUGAGAACUUAUUCAUUGAGAAUUGAGAUGGGUUUCAGGUGCAGACCCAGAUAAACAACAAAGAUGAUUUUUCUUGGGUCUUAAUCAGUUUUGCAGGGAGAACGUGAGUUUUGUAAUGGAUUACUUGGUUUAAACAUGAAAAUUUAUCUGAAGAUUUACCAAAUGAAUUGUUCAUAUUCAUUUGGAAGAAUAAGCAGAAAAUGAAAAUGAAUUGAAAGUUUAUGAUGCAAAAAUGGCAGAUUUACUUUUAGAAAAGUUUCAUGUGGGAGAAACUAACUGCAAAUUCCCUAUGGAUGAACACGAU